AUUGAACGCUGGCGGCAGGCCUAACACAUGCAAGUCGAGCGGAGCGGCGGACGGGUGAGUAAUGCCUAGGAAUCUGCCUGGUAGUGGGGGAUAACGUCCGGAAACGGGCGCUAAUACCGCAUACUAUCAGCUUAGCCUAGGUCGGAUUAGCUAGUUGGUGGGGUAAAGGGCUACCAAGGCGACGAUCCGUAACUGGUCUGCGAGGAUGAUCAGUCACACUGGAACUGAGACACGGUCAAGACUCCUACGGGAGGCAGCAGUGGGGAAUAUUGGACAAUGGGCGAAAGCCGGACGGAGCAACGCCGCGUGAGUGAAGAAGGUCUUCGGAUCGUAAAACUCUGUUAUUAGGGAGGCGGUACCUAAACAGAAAGCCACGGCUAACUACGUGCCAGCAGCCGCGGUAAUAC
rnacentral:rRNA from 1 species